GCCGGCUUGACUCAAAGGUUAGAGCAUCGCAUUUGUAAUUCAACAGUCAUCGAUUCGAUUUCGAUAGCCGACU
rnacentral:tRNA from 1 species